AACGAACGCUGGCGGCAGGCUUAACACAUGCAAGUCGAGCGCCCCGCAAGGGGAGCGGCAGACGGGUGAGUAACGCGUGGGAAUCUACCCAUCUCUACGGAAUAACGCAUGGAAACGUGUGCUAAUACCGUAUACGUCCUACGGGAGAAGGAUUUAUCGGAGAUGGAUGAGCCCGCGUUGGAUUAGCUAGUUGGUGGGGUAAAGGCCUACCAAGGCGACGAUCCAUAGCUGGUCUGAGAGGAUGAUCAGCCACACUGGGACGGAGACACGGCCCAGACUCCUACGGGAGGCAGCAGUGGGGAAUAUUGGACAAUGGGCGCAAGCCUGAUCCAGCCAUGCCGCGUGAGUGAUGAAGGCCCUAGGGUUGUAAAGCUCUUUCACCGGUGAAGAUAAUGACGGUAACCGGAGAAGAAGCCCCGGCUAACUUCGUGCCAGCCGCCGCCGUAAUAC
rnacentral:rRNA from 1 species